UGCCUACGGGGGGCAGCAGUGGGGAAUAUUGCACAAUGGGGGAAACCCUGAUGCAGCGACGCCGCGGGAGUGAAGAAGUAUUUCGGUAUGUAAAGCUAUAUCAGCAGGGAAGAAGUUGACGGUACCUGAGUAAGAAGCCCCGGCUAACUACGUGCCAGCAGCCGCGGUAAUACGUAGGGGGCAAGCGUUAUCCGGAUUUACUGGGUGUAAAGGGAGCGUAGACGGCAGUGCAAGUCUGAAGUGAAAGCCCCGGGCUUAACCCG
rnacentral:rRNA from 1 species